GUUACUGCACGUGGGCUUUCUCUAGUUGCGGCAAGCAGGGGCUAAUCUUUGUUGUAGUGAGUGGACUUCUUAUUGCAGUGGCUUCUCUUGCUGCAGAGCACGGGCUCUAGGCCAUAGGCUUCAGUAGUUGUGGCACACGGGCUCAGUAGUUGUGGG